CGAGUUUUUAAUGUUAAAAAAUGCAGAAAUGACCAAAUUAAUGCUAAUUAGUACCCAUUUUGCCAACUUUAACCAUCUUUAAUUCAAAAUCGGCUUGAAAAUCGCACUAGUCGCUUAAGUUAUCUUAUAUAUAGUUUUUUACGCUCUUUCUAGUGGUAUAGUUUAUUUUUCGUAUAAGAGAACACGAAAUUUUACAUUUUUUCCGAUCAUAGUAAUUUAAUAGGCAAAAUUUAAAAAUUCUCAAAU